ACUAAACGAAAAGUCUAAUGGCACAGCAAUUCAGCAUGCAUCUAUUUGAAAACGUUUCACCUUACGCCUACAGCAAGAUCAACUGAAGGUUGCCUGACGUGGUGGGGGUGUGGCUGUGAAGACAUGGAUAAUUGGGUUGAUCGCAAUGAACAGAAUCAAUUGCUGCUAUCUUCGGAUGCAGAGAGCACCUUUUGCUUCAACAGCUUCUACUUUGACAACAAAGCUUUGGAUUCUACUUGACUACACGACUGGGAUUCACUCUUGAAAAGGUACACAUUGUUUGCAUGGUAUUGCAUUGCAGCCAAUGAGUUCAAAGAGGUUGGCCAGACAGAUCUACACAAAGGAAUGGAAGAGGGCGCGGCGA